GACGAGCCGUGCGAACGUUGUUCGGAUUCACUGGGCUUAAAGGGCGCGUAGGCGGGCCAUCAAGUCGGGGGUGAAAUCUUUCAGCUCAACUGGAAAAGAGCCUUCGAUACUGACGGACUCGAGGGAGGUAGGGGCGUGCGGAACUUCCGGUGGAGCGGUGAAAUGCGUAGAGAUCGGAAGGAACGCCGGUGGCGAAAGCGGCGCGCUGGACCUCUUCUGACGCUGAGGCGCGAAAGCCAGGGGAGCAAACGGG
rnacentral:rRNA from 1 species